GUGUGUGUCUGUCAGUAAGUGAGUGUAUGUAUGUCACUGAGUGUGUGAGUGUUUGACUGUCAGUGUGUCUGUUAGUGAGUGUGUUUGUCUGUUAGUGAGUGUGUGUGUCUGUCAGUGAGUGAGUGUCUGUAUGUCAGUGAGUGUGUGAAUGUUUGACUGUCAGUGAGUAAGUGUGUGUCUGUCAGUGAGUGAAUGUAUGUCUGUCAGUGAGCGAGUGUAUGUAUGUCAGUGAGUGUC